rnacentral:miRNA from 1 species
AUUUUAUAUUAAUAUAUUUUUUAAAAAUAUUUUUAAAAAUUUUAUAACUAUUUAAGUGAUAUGUAAAUCGUUUGGAGAGUUUAAAAU